rnacentral:rRNA from 1 species
GAAUCCCGUCUUUGGCACGGACACACCAGGGCUUUUGUGAUGCGCUCUCGAAGAGUCGAGUUGUUUGGGAAUGCAGCUCAAAAUGGGUGGUGAACUCCAUCUAAAGCUAAAUAUUGGCGAGAGACCGAUAGCGAACAAGUACCGUGAGGGAAAGAUGAAAAGCACUUUGGAAAGAGAGUGAAACGGUACGUGAAAUUGUUGAAAGGGAAACGCUUGAAGUCAGUCGCGUCGACCGAGACUCAGCCUUGCCUUGGCUUGGUGUACUUCUCGGCUGACGGGUCAGCAUCAAUUUUGCCCCUUGGAUAAUGGCGAGGGAAAUGUGACACCUUUACGGUGUGUUAUAGUCUCUCGUCGCAUGCAAGGGUUGGGAUUGAGGAACUCAGCACGCACCUUUGGGUGUCGGGGUUUUGCCCACGAUACGUGCUUAGGAUGUUGGCGUAAUGGCUUUAAACGACCCGUCUUGAAACACGGACCAAGGAGUCUAACAUGCCUGCGAGUGUUCGGGUGGAAAACUCGUGCGCGCAAUGAAAGUGAAAGUUGGGACCUCUGUCGUGGAGGGCACCGACGCCCGGACCAGACCUUCUGUGACGGCUCUGCGGUAAAGCAUGUAUGUUAGGACCCGAAAGAUGGUGAACUAUGCCUGAAUAGGGUGAAGCCAGAGGAAACUCUGGUGGAGGCUCGUAGCGAUUCUGACGUGCAAAUCGAUCGUCAAAUUUGGGUAUAGGGGCGAAAGACUAAUCGAACCAUCUAGUAGCUGGUUCCUGCC